GACGAGCGCUGGCGGCGUGCCUAAUACAUGCAAGUCGAACGAGAGCGACCGGUGCUUGCACUGGUCAAUCUAGUGGCGAACGGGUGAGUAACACGUGGGUAACCUGCCCAUCAGAGGGGGAUAACAUCCGGAAACGGAUGCUAAAACCGCAUAGGUCUUCGAACCGCAUGGUUUGAAGAGGAAAAGAGGCGCAAGCUUCUGCUGAUGGAUGGACCCGCGGUGCAUUAGCUAGUUGGUGAGGUAACGGCUCACCAAGGCCGUGAUGCAUAGCCGACCUGAGAGGGUGAUCGGCCACAUUGGGACUGAGACACGGCCCAAACUCCUACGGGAGGCAGCAGUAGGGAAUCUUCCGCAAAGGACGCAAGUCUGACGGAGCAACGCCGCGUGAGUGAAGAAGGUUUUCGGAUCGUAAAACUCUGUUGUUAGAGAAGAACAAGUGCUAGAGUAACUGUUAGCGCCUUGACGGUAUCUAACCAGAAAGCCACGGCUAACUACGUG
rnacentral:rRNA from 1 species